rnacentral:rRNA from 1 species
UACAGAGGUCUCAAGCGUUGUUCGGAUUCAUUGGGCGUAAAGGGUGCGUAGGCGGCGCGGUAAGUCGGGUGUGAAAUCUCGGAGCUUUAAACUCCGAAACUGCAUUCGAUACUGCCGUGCUUUGAGGACUGGAGAGGAGACUGGAAAUUUUACGGUGUAGCGGUGAAAUGCGUAGAUAUCGUAAGGAAGACCAGUGGCGAAGGCGGGUCUCUGGACAUUCC